ACGGAGGGUGCAAGCGUUAAUCGGAAUUACUGGGCGUAAAGCGCGCGUAGGCGGUUUGUUAAGCUGGAUGUGAAAGCCCUGGGCUUAACCUGGGAACUGCAUUCAGAACUGGCAGGCUAGAGUACGGUAGAGGGGGGUAGAAUUCCUAGUGUAGCGGUGAAAUGCGUAGAUAUUAGGAGGAAUACCAGUGGCGAAGGCGGCCCCCUGGAUCGAUACUGACGCUGAGGUGCGAAAGCGUGGGGAGCAAACAGG
rnacentral:rRNA from 1 species